rfam:Gossypium hirsutum cultivar TM-1 chromosome 23, whole genome shotgun sequence
UGUUAAAAAUUUCAUCUAUUUUUAUUGUUAAAAACUGUUGUAACUAACAAAACAACCAAAUAGUGACACGUUAAGUACCAUGCGUAUCUCAUGUUGAUGUAUAGGGACCCGUUUUGAACAAUAGAAAUGCAUGAAAUUUUUAAUA